UACGGAGGGUGCAAGCGUUAAUCGGAAUUACUGGGCGUAAAGCGCGCGUAGGCGGCUUUGUAAGUCGGAUGUGAAAGCCCCGGGCUUAACCUGGGAAUUGCAUUCGAUACUGCAUGGCUAGAGUAUGGUAGAGGGUAGCGGAAUUCCGGGUGUAGCGGUGAAAUGCGUAGAUAUCCGGAGGAACACCAGUGGCGAAGGCGGCUACCUGGACCAAUACUGACGCUGAGGUGCGAAAGCGUGGGGAGCAAACAGG
rnacentral:rRNA from 1 species